GAUGAACGCUGGCGGCGUGCUUAACACAUGCAAGUCGAACGAAGCAUUUAGAACAGAUUACUUCGGUUUGAAGUUCUUUAUGACUGAGUGGCGGACGGGUGAGUAACGCGUGGGUAACCUGCCUUGUACUGGGGGAUAGCAGCUGGAAACGGCUGGUAAUACCGCAUAAGCGCACAAUGUUGCAUGACAUGGUGUGAAAAACUCCGGUGGUAUAAGAUGGACCCGCGUCUGAUUAGCUAGUUGGUGAGAUAACAACCCACCAAGGCGACGAUCAGUAGCCGACCUGAGAGGGUGACCGGCCACAUUGGGACUGAGACACGGCCCAGACUCCUACGGGAGGCAGCAGUGGGGAAUAUUGCACAAUGGAGGAAACUCUGAUGCAGCGACGCCGCGUGAGUGAAGAAGUAAUUCGUUAUGUAAAGCUCUAUCAGCAGGGAAGAUAGUGACGGUACCUGACUAAGAAGCUCCGGCUAAAUACGUG
rnacentral:rRNA from 1 species